AAGUCGUAACAAGGUUUCCGUAGGUGAACCUGCGGAAGGAUCAUUAACACGUAUCCACGUACCAACCAACUGUGCUUGUUUAUCUAUCCCCCAUGCUGUCGACUGACAACAGAACACAGUAUGGGACAGCGAGACAAGCAGAGUGGAACGAGUGUCUAACCACAUUCUCUCUUCUCUGUUUGUUUCAUUACAUUUUCACUUUUUUCACCCCGUGAUACCCCAUUUGUUGUUUGCUGCUAGACAGUGAGUGUGAGUGAUUGAUAUGUUUCAUACAUGUUCUUUCUCUCUUCUCUCUUUCUUGCUUGAUUUGAUUUAUUUCAACUGCAUACAACUCUUAGCAAUGGAUAUCUUGGUUCUC
rnacentral:misc_RNA from 1 species